rnacentral:lncRNA from 1 species
GGCCAAAGAAAGCCGGCAGUAGUUGCUGGUAUCAGGUUUCUUCCCUGAUUAAAACCUAGCUGCCUUGAGCAGUUCUUAACCCUUUUCUUGCAACUUCUUGGUGUCAGUAAUAGAAAAUCAGCCUGCUUGUCAAACAGUUGCUUAAGGUUUUAUGGUCCUUACAAGUACAUUCCAAGAAAUGAGAUCUUAGGAUAAGCUCCUAGGAUCAGGGCAGUUUAUGUGUCCAUGUCUCUGUUGUUUGUCUUCUGGCUUUUGCUGUUUGUCUCAUGUGUCUUUCUGUAUUUGGACUCAGUAUUUGCCCCAGUACCCUUCUAUCUUGGGGGCUGACUCUUCUCCUUGUGACUGGUCUGUCAAUCGGGGGAAACAGUGGCUGGACACCCUGCAGAUCUCCAAGCAGUUCUCCACCAACCUGGGACCCUGGAAUUCACUGAAGAUGUGCCCCUAAAGACACUGUGUCUGCAGCCUUUCCCUCCUCCUCUUAUCCCCCUCUCCCUCUCUCCUGACCAUAGGACAGCACUAUAUCCAUUCUCAGCACUGAAGAAACUACAGAAGAUUUGGACCUCUGCCCUUUUCCCCUUAGAUCCUUGGAGAGAGGAGGGGAUGGGAUGGCAGGGGACACUGAACCAGGUGGGGCCUGAGAUUCUGGCCCUCCAGGAGGCUGUGUGGUUCCCCUAUGGAUGGCUGGGCCUGCUAGAUGGCAAGACUCACCAGAAGCAGUGGGAAGUCAGCUAGCAAAAGGAAUACAUGACCCACUCGCUUCCAUUACUUCACUUUCUCCCCCACCCCUUGGUUUCCCCCUCCCUUGUCACAGAGUAUCCCUCAACCAGGGAAAACCUUAUCCCACUCACAGGAGCACACUGGCUAUGCUCCCGUUCUGGCCUACAGCCCUGUGUCUCCCCUAGCUCCCUCACUGUCCACUGCACUCCCUCACAAUAGUACCCCAAGUGACCUACUAUGCCAAGCAGGACCUCCUCUUUCUUAAGGAGGCGGCCUCUGUGAAGCCUUGGGUGAGGAAUGCUACUUCUAUGUUAACCACUCAGGGAUUAUUAGGGACUCCCUGAGCAAGCUACAAGAGGGUCUAGAAGCCCUGAUGGAGAGGGAAACUGCCGGCCCCUGGUACACCCACCUUUUCAAUUCUUCUCCCUAGUCACUUCCCUUAUAGGACCCCUCAUAAUCUUAACCCUACUCUUGACAUUUGUCCCCUGCGUUUUUAACCACCUUAUUUGGUUCUUGAAAGACUGGCUGGAUGCCAUCCAGGAUUUGGCUCUCCAGAAACAGUACUGACCCCUAGCGAGCCCUGGGCUGAAAGCCACAAGCUGCCUCAGUAGGCAGGUUUUCCCUCUGCCCCCUAAGAGCAAAAGAAAUUGGAAAUGAGGGAGAUCUAAAUUGAAAAUUGCCUUGAGAAAUUCAGCCAGGAAAAAUGCCAAGGCCCUGCUACAGACAGAUAAACUUCAAACCUAGCGAAGGCCCCACUACAGACAGAUAAGCUUCAGACCUUGUGCUGGGACCUGUCCAAGGUCCCUGAUAAAAUUCAGCACUGAGACCCCAGGUGAACAAAGCAACUUUCCAACAAGGGCAUGCAACAGGGGAACUAUUCAUGUUAAAAAGUAUUUAAGACUGAAUCUUCAAGAGGGAAAUUGGAACUCUGAUGGCAGAGGUUCCCACUGAUGCUCAUAUCAGUUCCACAAUAAAGGGUCUUUUCCGUGUCUGAUUGUACUGCCC